GACGAACGCUGGCGGCGUGCUUAACACAUGCAAGUCGAACGGAAAGGCCCUGCUUUUGUGGGGUUCUCGAGUGGCGAACGGGUGAGUAACACGUGAGUAACCUGCCCUUUACUUUGGGAUAACUUCAGGAAACUGGGGCUAAUACCGGAUAGGAGCUCCUGCUGCAUGGUGGGGGUUGGAAAGUUUCGGCGGUUGGGGAUGGACUCGCGGCUUAUCAGCUUGUUGGUGGGGUAGUGGCUUACCAAGGCUUUGACGGGUAGCCGGCCUGAGAGGGUGACCGGCCACAUUGGGACUGAGAUACGGCCCAGACUCCUACGGGAGGCAGCAGUGGGGAAUAUUGCACAAUGGGCGGAAGCCUGAUGAAGCAACGCCGCGUGCGGGAUGACGGCCUUCGGGUUGUAAACCGCUUUCGCCUGUGACGAAGCGUGAGUGACGGUAAUGGGUAAAGAAGCACCGGCUAACUACGUG
rnacentral:rRNA from 1 species